GACGAACGCUGGCGGCGUGCUUAACACAUGCAAGUCGAACGAAGUGGCGAACGGGUGAGUAACGCGUAAUCAACCUGCUCUUCAGCGGGGGACAACAGUUGGAAACGACUCCUAAUACCGCAUACUGAAGGAGGGGAUUGCGUCUGAUUAGCUAGUUGGAGGGGUAACGGCCGACCAAGGCGAUGAUCAGUAGGCGGCCUCGGAUGAUGAACGGGGACAUUGGGACUGGAACACGGCCCAGACUCCUACGGGAGGCAACAGUUGGGAAUCUUCCGGAAUGGACGAAAGUCUGACGAAGGAACGCCGCGGGGGUGAUUACGGCCUUCGGGUUGUAAAGCUCUGUUAAUCGGGACGCGGUACCGGAAUAGAAAGCCACGGCUAACUACGUGCCAGCAGCCGCGGUAAUUC
rnacentral:rRNA from 1 species